AUUGAACGCUGGCGGCAGGCCUAACACAUGCAAGUCGAGCGAGGGGCGGACGGGUGAGUAAUGUAUGGGGACUGCCCGAUGGAGGGGGAUAACUACUGGAAACUUUGGCUAAUAACGCAUACCAUAGGAUAACCCAUAUGGGAUUAGCUAGUUGUUGGGGUAAAGGCUCACCUAGGCGACGAUCUCUAGCUGGUCUGAGAGGAUGAUCAGCCACACGGGGACUGAGACACGGCCCAGACUCCUACGGAGGCAGCAGUGGGGAAUAUUGCACAAUGGGCGCAAGCCUGAUGCAGCCAUGCCGCGUGUAUGAAGAAGGCCUUAGGGUUGUAAAGUACUUUCAGCGUGGAGGCGUUAACCGCAGAAGAAGCACCGGCUAACUCCGUGCCAGCAGCCGCGGUAAUUC
rnacentral:rRNA from 1 species